AGCGAACGCUGGCGGCAUGCCUUACACAUGCAAGUCGAACGGUAACAGGUCUUCGGAUGCUGACGAGUGGCGAACGGGUGAGUAAUACAUCGGAACGUGCCUAGUAGUGGGGGAUAACUACUCGAAAGAGUGGCUAAUACCGCAUGAGAUCUACGGAUGAAAGCAGGGGAUCGCAAUACCUUGUGCUACUAGAGCGGCCGAUGGCAGAUUAGGGAGUUGGUGGGAUAAAAGCUUACCAAGCCGACGAUCUGUAGCUGGUCUGAGAGGACGAUCAGUCACACUGGGACUGAGACACGGCCCAGACUCCUACGGGAGGCAGCAGUGGGGAAUUUUGGACAAUGGGCGCAAGCCUGAUCCAGCAAUGCCGCGUGCAGGAUGAAGGCCUUCGGGUUGUAAACUGCUUUUGUACGGAACGAAAAGCCCUGGGUUAAUACCCUGGGGUCAUGACGGUACCGUAAGAAUAAGCACCGGCUAACUACGUGCCAGCAGCCGCCGUAACAC
rnacentral:rRNA from 1 species